CUUAAGGGCGAUUCUAGUUGGUCUAACUUGAGGCGGAUCCGGACGUACUGUGGACUAUCUACGGAGGGACGACAUUUGGAGUCCUAAAGACUUGUUCUUGUUCGGUUCGGGCGCAGCUAGGGAAGGCACGCUACAACAUGUAUGCAUCUAUUCUAUGCUAAAUGAUUAUGUGUAAAUAAUAUGCUUUCCUGGCUUUAUGGUUUUUCCGCAUGAUUUAUGAAUUGUCAUAUGUAUCAUAACCUAACAAUCACUACCAUGAAUGUUAUAAAUGUUUACCAGUGAUAUUGUGCUUCCUUGAGAGAAGACUAGUGGUCAUGAACUUGCGGAGUCUGCUUUAUUUCGCAAGUUUUCAGCUUGGAUCAACCCACUAAGUGGGGCCCUCCUCCUAGGUGGAGGUCUGUAUAGUGUACUGGAUAGAGUUUUCCCUACAACAAUGGUGAUAUAGGUAUUUAGAGUUAAAAUAUAUGAUAGCUAAGAUAGGAGACUCAUGGUUCAAUUGUCAGAAGUUGAUGCUACCUAAAGGAUGCGGGUGUUCUUUAUCAAUGUGAAUAAUUAUUGUUGUUUUUUUUUCAUGGGUCUGUAUGAAUAAUAGGAUUCGGGUUUCCAGGUAUGAAUUUCAGAUGCAAUGUAUUCAGGCUAAUGAAAGAAAAAGGUGAAACACUUGGGUAGAGUUUUGUAUUCAGGCUAUUGGUCUUUUUUGUAAGCUUCUUUGUUUGGACCCAAUAUUUAAUCACAAUGUUGGCCUUUAACGGGUUUACGUUAGCAUCAUUAUGUUAAGUUUCUAUCACUGCAUAAUUACUUUUAUCCAGCUAUAUAAUUUAUUCUUAUGUGAUAUAGAUAUUCAUGGGUAAUGUAAUUUAAUGUAAUUAUGUUUAUAUAUCUCUUCUGAGACAUCUAGAA